GUGAGUAACGCGUAUCCAACUUCCCUUAGUAGGGCAUAGCCCGGUGAAAAUCGGAUUAAUACCCUAUGUUCUCGUAGAAGACAUCUGAAAUGAAGCAAAGGUUUACCGCUAAGGGAUGGGGAUGCGUCUGAUUAGGUAGUCGGCGGGUAACGGCCCACCGAGCCAUCGAUCAGUAGGGGUUCUGAGAGGAAGGUCCCCCACACUGGUACUGAGACACGGACCAGACUCCUACGGGAGGCAGCAGUGAGGAAUAUUGGUCAAUGGUCGAGAGACUGAACCAGCCAAGUAGCGUGCAGGAUGACGGCCCUAUGGGUUGUAACUGCUUUAUGCGGGAUAAGUGCACUACGUGUAGUGUUGUAGGUACCGCAUGAAUAAGGACCGGCUAAUUCCGUGCC
rnacentral:rRNA from 1 species